UCAGAAGAAGAAAAAGAUGAUAAGAAAAUAGUAGUAGAAGUAAUAGAUAAAAUAGAAAAUAAUUCAGAUAUUAAUAUGGACGAAGAUAGCAGUUCAGAUACCUAUACUGACUUGAUAAAGAAAACAAAUAAAUUAUAUAUAGAAACUAAUGAAUUAAAUGAUACAACUAAAGAUGAAGAUAUAAUAACAAAUCAUAUAAAUAUGACUAAACCAGAUAGCCUGGAAAAUAGAAAAGGAUUUUAUACAACUUUCGCAACAGGAAGAGAUAAAGGUUAUAAAAAAAGUAGUUAUUAUGAAAAAAC
rnacentral:lncRNA from 1 species